ensembl:lncRNA
CCUCACACGGUGUGACGGAUUUCAGCAGCGUCGGAGAGCCGACAUGGACCGAGUGGAAUUUCUCGAAAUGAGGAUUUUAGCGUUAAAUUGUUGUUUUAAUUGUAUAUUUUUUCCGCAGUGUGUAUUCAUUUACGACUGAUUUAAUUAGUGCUUACAGAGGAAUAUCCUAAUUAUAAGAGAAGCGAGUCGAUCAGGAAUAUAUAUAUUUAUAUAAUAUAUCUGUGGCGCUCAGCGUGAAGAAAGAGAAAGGUAGAUGUACACCGACUGAAUCUGCUGCUGCAUGUCCUCCCUCCAUCACCGACUUCAACUGUAUGUUUUAAGAAAGAAGAAGAAGAAGAAGAAGAAAGAAAAAACCUGGAAAUGACAGCAGUAUCUUCAUUAUUUCCCAGCCCUCCUCUUCUGUCAUGUGGAUAAAUAAUUUCUGGUGCUGUUCUGCUCUGUGCUUUGAGCCUCUUUACAAUGCUGCCUUGUGGCAUCAGUAUCAAGCAGCAUUGUACAGGGCUAUGAGAGCACAGAGACCAAAUACACCACCAUAUUCCGUCCUCCGUCCUCACAGUAUCAAUGUGGUACAUUCUGCUGAGAGAUCAACCAUCGGCUCUGGGAUCCAUCCUGAACUGUGCAGCCAACAAGGAAAGACACCUUCUAAUUUGGGAUAUUUUAUAUAUAUGUGUGUGUGAUUUUGAGCCUUAUGUCACUUUGCAAUGUAAUCUAUAGGCUAUUUGAUGCAUCAACAUCCAGUGUGGUUUGUAAUCAUCUGAACAUGGAUCCAGCUCUCAGCUUUGUGCUCCAUCUUGUUGGAUUUUGACUGGUUCUAUAUACAGGCUAUAUAAAGACUAUAUAUAGCCUUUUAAUAUGUAGCAUCCUCAUUUUGUUUUUUUGUUUUUUUUAAUCUAAAAGGACUAAUUAUCAUCAAAAUGUUAUUCUUGAUUGCAAAUUACAAUCAAAAGUCAUGACCAGAUCCUUGUUUUAGUCUGUAAUGCAGCCAUGUUCCAAUUUCUUGCUUUUAGUCUUGACUCCAGAUAUUAAAAUAUAUGUCUACUCACUGAAAUUCAGCUUGCAUCAUGUUGUUGGUUACUGUUCUUUCAUAGACUCCUAGCUUGCUUGAUGUUGCUAAAUUCAUUGGUGUGUUCACUACCCACUCAACACUUUACUCAUGAUUGAUUUAGGC